rnacentral:rRNA from 1 species
AAACCAACAGGGAUUGCCUCAGUAACGGCGAGUGAAGCGGCAAAAGCUCAAAUUUGAAAUCUAGUACCUUCGGUGCUCGAGUUGUAAUUUGAAGAUGGUAAUCCUGGCGCUGGCCCUUGUCUAUGUUCCUUGGAACAGGACGUCAUAGAGGGUGAGAAUCCCGUCUGAUGGGGUGUCCAGUGCUAUGUAGGAUGCUAUCGAAGAGUCGAGUUGUUUGGGAAUGCAGCUCUAAGUGGGUGGUAAAUUCCAUCUAAAGCUAAAUAUUGGCGAGAGACCGAUAGCGAACAAGUACAGUGAUGGAAAGAUGAAAAGAACUUUGAAAAGAGAGUGAAAAAGUACGUGAAAUUGUUGAAAGGGAAGGGUAUUAGAUCAGACUUGGUGUUUUAUGAUUAUCUUCUCUUCUUGAGUUGUGCACUCGUAUUUCACUGGGCCAGCAUCGAUUCGGAUGGUAAGAUAAUGACAUUGGAACGUGGCAUCAUUCGUGAUGUGUUAUAGCCUUUGUUGAUAUUGCCUAUCUGGAUCGAGGACUGCGGCUUCUGCCUAGGAUGCUGGCGUAAUGAUCUAAUAUCGC